AGGACCUUCUUUGAGUAUUUUCGCAAACACAAUACAGACACCUGCGUGGAUCAUGGAUUCGACGCUCUCCUGGUCACGACCCAGUAGACCAAUCGCUCUUGCGGCGUUCUCUUGGCCUUCCAUCUUCCCUUCUUNNNNNAGCAGAGGCGGAAUUCCUCCCUCUUCAAUAAUCAGCUUCCCGUAACGAUCGUUGUCUCUCGCCAGCGAAACCAGCGAAGCCGCAGCAUCGGAUCUAUCAUCCGGUGACCCAGUAUAGAGAAUCGCAAU
rnacentral:misc_RNA from 1 species